GGCAGCGGCGGCGGCGAUGAGACAGAAGCACUACCUUGAGGCUGCAGCGCGGGGACUGCACGACAGCUGCCCGGGCCAAGCCCGCUACCUCCUGUAAGAGGACUGGAGGGGAAGCGGGAGGCGAGCGGGCCAGUAUGCAAGCAAAUCCUGUUGGCUUUAAAAUGUAGCCAAAAUCAGCCAGGAGC
rnacentral:sRNA from 1 species